rnacentral:rRNA from 1 species
CGCGGCCUAUCAGCUUGUUGGUGAGGUAAUGGCUCACCAAGGCUUCGACGGGUAGCCGGCCUGAGAGGGCGACCGGCCUCACUGGGACUGAGAUACGGCCCAGACUCCUACGGGAGGCAGCAGUGGGGAAUAUUGCACAAUGGGCGCAAGCCUGAUGCAGCAACGCCGCGUGCGGGAUGACGGCCUUCGGGUUGUAAACCGCUUUCAGUAGGGACGAAGCUAACGUGACGGUACCUACAGAAGAAGGACCGGCUAACUACGUGCCAGCAGCCGCGGUGAUACGUAGGGUCCGAGCGUUGUCCGGAAUUAUUGGGCGUAAAGGGCUUGUAGGCGGUCCGUCGCGUCAGGAGUGAAAACUCGGGGCUUAACCCCGAGCCUGCUUUUGAUACGGGCGGACUAGAGGGAUGCAGGGGAGAACGGAAUUCCUGGUGGAGCGGUGGAAUGCGCAGAUAUCAGGAGGAACACCGGUGGCGAAGGCGGUUCUCUGGGCAUCACCUGACGCUGAGAAGCGAAAGCGUGGGGAGCAAACAGGCUUAGAUACCCUGGUAGUCCACGCCGUAAACGGUGGGCACUAGGUGUGGGGGACAUUCCACGUUCUCCGUGCCGAAGCUAACGCAUUAAGUGCCCCGCCUGGGGAGUACGG